rnacentral:ribozyme from 1 species
AAAGGAGAUGAAAAUAUUGUAAAACAAACAAAAUAAAGAAUCCGGCUUAUACUCAGUUUCAACGAUCGCUUUUUCUUCCAUAUACCGGUUCAAUUCCAUUUUGUUUUGGUUCCUCUUUUUUCCGUUAUGCAUUGGUCCAUUUUUCCGUUAUAACAAC